rnacentral:rRNA from 1 species
UAGGGAAUCUUCCACAAUGGACGCAAGUCUGAUGGAGCAACGCCGCGUGAGUGAAGAAGGUCUUCGGAUCGUAAAACUCUGUUGUUAGAGAAGAACAUGCGAGAGAGUAACUGUUCUUGUAUUGACGGUAUCUAACCAGAAAGCCACGGCUAACUACGUGCCUG